rnacentral:tRNA from 1 species
ACCAAACAACUACACUAGGGAAAUGGGACUCGAACCCGUAUCUAAGAAUCCAAAACUCUUCGUAUUUCCGGCCAUACUCCUCCCUA